CGAACGCUGGCGGCGUGCUUAACACAUGCAAGUCGAACGCGAAAGGGACUUCGGCCUGAGUAAAGUGGCGGCACGGGUGAGUAACGCGUAGAUAACCUGUCUUCAUGUCUGGAAUAAUACGCCGAAAGGGGUACUAAUACCGGAUAUUCUUGCUUUUCAUAAGUUAUGCAAGCAAAGGUGGCCUCUGCAUAUGCUACUGCAUGAAGAGGGGUCUGCGUACCAUUAGCUAGUAGGUGGGGUAAUGGCCUACCUAGGCGACGAUGGUUAGCGGGUCUGAGAGGAUGAUCCGCCACACUGGCACUGGAACACGGGCCAGACUCCUACGGGAGGCAGCAGUGAGGAAUAUUGCGCAAUGGGGGAAACCCUGACGCAGCGACGCCGCGUGAGUGAGGAAGGCCUUCGGGUCGUAAAGCUCUGUCAAGAGGAAAGAAGUGUACAAUGGCUAAUACCUGUUGUAUUUGACGGUACCUCUAAAGGAAGCACCGGCUAACUCCGUGCCAGCCGCCGC
rnacentral:rRNA from 1 species